CCUACGGGAGGCUGCAGUGGGGAAUAUUGGGCAAUGGAGGCAACUCUGACCCAGCAACGCCGCGUGAAUGAUGAAGGUCUUCGGAUUGUAAAGUUCUUUUCUAAGGGAAGAAGAAAGUGACGGUACCUUAGGAAUAAGCCUCGGCUAACUACGUGCCAGCAGCCGCGGUAAUACGUAGGAGGCAAGCGUUAUCCGGAAUGACUGGGCGUAAAGGGUGCGUAGGUGGUUCAGCAAGUUAGUAGCGUAACUCCGGGGCUCAACCUCGGCACUACUACUAAAACUGUUGGACUUGAGUGCAGGAGGGGCAACUGGAAUGCCUAGUGUAGCGGUGGAAUGCGUAGAUAUCACGCAGAACUCCGAUUGCGAAGGCAGCAUACCGGCGCUCAACUGACGCUCAUGCACGAAAGUGUGGGUAUCGAACAGGAUUAGAUACCCUUGUAGUC
rnacentral:rRNA from 1 species